AAUCUUUAAACUCUGACUAAUUGAAUGUUAUUUUGAUAAAAUAGUUUUUUGUCAUUGUGUUUGUUUCAACCUUUCUGCACUCAGGUUGUUCUUUGGCAAGGCAAAGCAAAUUUAUUUGUAUACCACAUUUCAGUACAAGCACAACACAAAGUGAUUUACAUGAUUAAAACAGUGUUGUGUCUUCAGAAGCAGUGUGCGGGGCAUGUGUGUUUCUCUCCCUCAUGCAGGGUGUGACAGGUGCUGCCAGCUGACAGGUGCAACUUGUCAAGAGCCAAUCAAGACGUGGAUAAAGAGGAGUGGUUCCUGACAACAAGCACCAGUUGGUUAACUUGCAUAGAGUGAUUCUAAGCCCUGGCUCUUCUGGACUUCCCCUGCUGUUGACUACUGGUUCCAAUCCACACCUCCAGGUCGUCAUUGGCUUUCUCCGUGGUUUCCUGUGAUCGCAAUCCCUGAGAAUACCUUACCUUCACCAUCCUGUCCACCCUCCAACGUUCUACUGCAAGGAAGAACAUUACCAACUACACUACUACCACCAACCUCUGCUUUGAGACACACUUAGCCCCUGCUCUGAUUACAGGAUCUUCACCCCUUGGCACACUUUCCAAUAAAUCUGUUGAACCUG